rnacentral:lncRNA from 1 species
UAAUUACUCUUAUCAACCUCUGAAGUCUACUCAACUAGGAGUAUUAACAUGGCUGGAAAAGUUGCUAUCCUUCUCACCACUCUCCUUGUGCUUAUUGCUGGUAACUUAUUUUAGCCUCCUACAUUGUUAAAAUAUAGAUGCAUAUUGUUUGACAUGUAUGUUUUUUCAUUGGCUUUGUAUUUUAACGGUAUCUUUGCACAAAUAGCCGGACGAAUUUACUGUUUACUUUUUUUAGCCAGUAUACAUAUAUAGAUCUAUACACUGAUUAUACACGAUAAUUCACAUAUUACACAUGAAUUAUAUAUGUCUUAUAUAUUUGCUGGCUAUUUUUAGUUUAACGGCCGGGUGGAAGGCUAUUUAAGUUAAUUAUUUUUUUUAUUUUUUUGGGUACUAAAUUCAAUUUUGGAUUUAAAUAUGAUUUGCAGCCCAUUCAUUUUGGUCUACGAAAAUUCAUGUGAUGGCCCUACGAGAUCUACAACCAUUUGCAGCGAAACUAUCUCAAUUACCUCCAAAUUUUGGGCACCUUGUCAAAGAAACUAUGAUUGCACAAGUUUGACUUGUCCCGUUUGUGAUUGGCAUGAUACAUAUGGGAGGAUCUGUAUGAUAAGGCCUCGUCUCCAAGCUAAGGAAUAAAAUAGGAGACGUCAUAUGUGUUCUUCAAUUAAAUAAAAGAAUAUCGCUCAAUAUAUAUGUGUGCGCGCAAUAUAUAUUUCCUUCGAUUUUAUUUCCCAUACAUUUUAUAUGUCAGCUCCAAAUCUCGUACUAUGUGUUCUUCAAUUAAAUAAAAGAAUAUCGCGCAAUAUACAUGUGUGCACACGCGAUAUAUGUUUCCUUUGAUUUUAAUUUCCGAACCAUUUUACGUGUCACUUCCAAAUCUUCAGUUCCUGUUUAUGCACUUUUCUCUAAGAUAAGAAAAUUGUUACUCAUAAAAUCUUAAUUUGUCUCCUAUUUUCUCCUAAUUAGGCAG